rnacentral:tRNA from 1 species
GCGGUUAUGAUGGAAUUGGCAGACAUCCUUGCCUAAGAAGCAAGGUCUUGAGGGUUCAAGUCCCUCUAUCCGCA